rnacentral:rRNA from 1 species
ACAGCAGUAGCCGCGGGAAUACGGAGGGAGCUAGCGUUGCUCGGAAUUACUGGGCGUAAAGCGCACGUAGGCGGUUAUUCAAGUCAGAGGUGAAAGCCCGGGGCUCAACCCCGGAACUGCCUUCGAAACUAGAUGACUAGAAUCUUGGAGAGGUCAGUGGAAUUCCGAGUGUAGAGGUGAAAUUCGUAGAUAUUCGGAAGAACACCAGUGGCGAAGGCGACUGACUGGACAAGUAUUGACGCUGAGGUGCGAAAGCGUGGGGAGCAAACAGGAUUAGAUACCCCCGUAGUCCCUGUCUCUUAUAC